UAAUUGCAGAGGCCUUAAAGGGCCUUAAAGAGGGGUCAGCGCCCAGGCCUUGUCCCUGAAGCAUGGGUGGUGACCCUGCAGCUAGCGGUGCAUCUGUGCAUCUCAAGCUUUGGAAAACACCAAGGGCUGUCUUCCCUAUUGGACUAAAACCUCCCUGGAUGAAAGAGAUGACAAGGUUUGCCCAUGCCCAGCAGACAUGCCCAUGGAAUGAAAGAUAAAUGCCUGCCCUGUCCUCCUCUGGUGCUUCAGGAGCCUGUCUGAUGGGACAACGGAACAUGCACAUGGGCAGAGGUGAUGCACAUAUCAUCACGUCACAUCACACGUGUCUGCUCGGUCCCUGCUGCCCUGACCCUGCUUCACACACCGUGUUCACCAUGGCCAUGAGCACAGAAUUCUGGUGGACCCUCUAUGUGUGGGAAUUCAAGACCCAAGGUGAAGACAAGCGUUGUGAGUUCGAUUCCUGGUUGGGAGGCAAAGAUCCCAUGCACCUCGUGGCCAAAAUACCAAAUCACAAAAUAGAAGCAAUAUUGUAACAAACUCAAUAAAGACUUUUAAAAUGG